GCUAUAGCUCAGCUGGAUAGAGCGACCGCCUCCUAAGCGGUAGGCCGGAGGUUCGAAUCCUCUUAGU
rnacentral:tRNA from 1 species